AUUGAACGCUGGCGGCAUGCCUUACACAUGCAAGUCGAACGGCAGCACGGGUGCUUGCACCUGGUGGCGAGUGGCGAACGGGUGAGUAAUACAUCGGAACAUGUCCUGUAGUGGGGGAUAGCCCGGCGAAAGCCGGAUUAAUACCGCAUACGAUCUACGGAUGAAAGCGGGGGACCUUCGGGCCUCGCGCUAUAGGGUUGGCCGAUGGCUGAUUAGCUAGUUGGUGGGGUAAAGGCCUACCAAGGCGACGAUCAGUAGCUGGUCUGAGAGGACGACCAGCCACACUGGGACUGAGACACGGCCCAGACUCCUACGGGAGGCAGCAGUGGGGAAUUUUGGACAAUGGGCGAAAGCCUGAUCCAGCAAUGCCGCGUGUGUGAAGAAGGCCUUCGGGUUGUAAUGCACUUUUGUCCGGAAAGAAAUCCUUGGCCCUAAUACGGUCGGGGGAUGACGGUACCGGAAGAAUAAGCACCGGCUAACUACGUG
rnacentral:rRNA from 1 species